UCGAUCUUAUCUUCUCCAUCUCCUCAAAACAACUUUACGGCAACCAAACUGCUUCAAAGUUUACCACCCUUCAAAGUUCAGUUCAAGUCGAUCUUAUCUUCUCCAUCUCCUCAAAGUUCAGUUCAACAAAUAUCACCGCCCACCCUUCGGUUCUUCACCUAGGUCGUGCCGGAAACUAGAUUUGCAGUCCAGUUCAACAAAUAUCACCGCCCCCCCCCUUCAGAUGAAGACGAUGAGGUUUUGAGGGCCGGCGACCGGAGACGCCGCUCACGGCGGCGGUCUUUAUCUCCGACCGGAGACGCCGCUCACGGUAAACCCUCCUGUUUGUGAUCAAUCACCUGAUACAUCUUGCAAAGUCCCCCUCUGCAGGAAAUUUAAAACUAAAGGGCAGCAAGUGAAUAACAAAAAGAAAGAAGCAAGAUGGGAAUUUCUAGUUAGAAAAGUUGAAGCAGCUAAAGCUGUAUCGUUGGAUAUGUAAUUUUAUUAUGUAAUUUUAUUUUGGUUAUGCUCGUAGAUUUUAAACAUUUUUUCUUUUAG
rnacentral:lncRNA from 1 species